rnacentral:rRNA from 1 species
UGGGGAAUAUUGGACAAUGGGCGAAAGCCUGAUCCAGCCAUGCCGCGUGUGUGAAGAAGGUCUUCGGAUUGUAAAGCACUUUAAGUUGGGAGGAAGGGCAUUAACCUAAUACGUUAGUGUUUUGACGUUACCGACAGAAUAAGCACCGGCUAACUCUGUGCCAGCAGCCGCGGUAAUACAGAGGGUGCAAGCGUUAAUCGGAAUUACUGGGCGUAAAGCGCGCGUAGGUGGUUUGUUAAGUUGGAUGUGAAAUCCCCGGGCUCAACCUUGGAACUGCAUUCAAAACUGACUGACUAGAGUAUGGUAGAGGGUGGUGGAAUUUCCUGUGUAGCGGUGAAAUGCGUAGAUAUAGGAAGGAACACCAGUGGCGAAGGCGACCACCUGGACUAAUACUGACACUGAGGUGCGAAAGCGUGGGGAGCAAACA